rnacentral:rRNA from 1 species
UGCCCUAGUAACGGCGAGUGAAGCGGCAACAGCUCAAAUUUGAAAUCUGGCGUCUUUGGCGUCCGAGUUGUAAUUUGCAGAGGGCGCUUUGGCAUCGGCAGCGGUCCAAGUUCCUUGGAACAGGACGUCACAGAGGGUGAGAAUCCCGUACGUGGUCGCUAGCCUUUACCGUGUAAAGCCCCUUCGACGAGUCGAGUUGUUUGGGAAUGCAGCUCUAAAUGGGAGGUAAAUUUCUUCUAAAGCUAAAUACUGGCCAGAGACCGAUAGCGCACAAGUAGAGUGAUCGAAAGAUGAAAAGCACUUUGGAAAGAGAGUUAAAAAGCACGUGAAAUUGUUGAAAGGGAAGCGCUUGCAGCCAGACUUGCCUGUAGUUGCUCAUCUAGGUUUUUAUCUAGUGCACUCUUCUAUAGGCAGGCCAGCAUCAGUUUAGGCGGUUGGAUAAAGGUCUCUAUCAAGUACCUCUCUUCGGGGAGGCCUUAUAGGGGAGACGUAAUGCAUCCAGCCUAGACUGAGGUCCGCGCAUCUGCUAGGAUGCUGGCGUAAUGGCUGUAAGCGGCCCGUCUUGAAACACGGACCAAGGAGUCUAACAUCUAUGCGAGUGUUUGGGUGUCAAGCCCGAGCGCGUAAUGAAAGUGAACGGAGGUGGGAACCUUUCGGGGUGCACCAUCGACCGAUCCUGAUGUCUUCGGAUGGAUUUGAGUAAGAGCAUAGCUGUUGGGACCCGAAAGAUGGUGAACUAUGCUUGAAUAGGGUGAAGCCAGAGGAAACUCUGGUGGAGGCUCGCAGCGGUUCUGACGUGCAAAUCGAUCGUCAAAUUU